GACGAACGCUGGCGGCGUGCUUAACACAUGCAAGUCGAACGGAAAGGCCCUGCUUUUGUGGGGUGCUCGAGUGGCGAACGGGUGAGUAACACGUGAGUAACCUGCCCUUGACUUUGGGAUAACUUCAGGAAACUGGGGCUAAUACCGGAUAGGAGCUCCUGCUGCAUGGUGGGGGUUGGAAAGUUUCGGCGGUUGGGGAUGGACUCGCGGCUUAUCAGCUUGUUGGUGGGGUAGUGGCUUACCAAGGCUUUGACGGGUAGCCGGCCUGAGAGGGUGACCGGCCCCAUUGGGACUGAGGUACGGCCCAGACCCCUACGGGAGGCAGCAGUGGGGAAUAUUGCACAAUGGGCGGAAGCCUGAUGCAGCAACGCCGCGUGCGGGAUGACGGCCUUCGGGUUGUAAACCGCUUUCGCCUGUGACGAAGCGUGAGUGACGGUAAUGGGUAAAGAAGCACCGGCUAACUACGU
rnacentral:rRNA from 1 species